GCCGAAUCGGGCGUAUCGCAUUUGAUUUGAAAUAAAAUUAUUCAUUUUAACACAAAAUGCAAAAACGCCUUUGCGUAAACAAGUACCUGCUCUAUAAUAUUACAUACCUAUAUACAUAUAUAAUUCAGCUUUUUAAAUCACCUUCGAAUACCGCAGCACUCAGUAAAACUCGUUAUCGGUAUUUGCAUAUUUGUACGGGUAUUCUGUCAAACUUGCAUGUUCCAAGAAUAUUUACAAUAAUAAUCAUUAGUUUGGAUUACAUUACUUAAGGAUAUAAAAAACUCUUAUCGCGUACCUAACCAUAUAAAUCUAAACAGAAUAUGAAUUAUUUGAAUAGAUCGUAAUGUACAUGCAUACCUUACAUAUAUAUUAUUACGGUGAAAUGUGCGUAUAACCGUU